rnacentral:lncRNA from 1 species
AAUUCUGAAGCCUGAACACAAUUCAGACCAAUUACAUUUAAAAUCACCAGGGCUGAGGCCUUAACACUCCCCUCCCACCACUGAGAGGACGGUGGGGAUGUUGUGGGCAAGAAGGUCACACAGUCACCCAGGUGUGAAGAGAUGAUGCACGUUGGGACUUGGGUGGUUGGGACCUCUAGCCCCCAGAUUGUUCAAGGGUUAACUGUAUUAAUACUGCUAUAGUUGUAUCAAUGCUUAGAAUUUGGAACAUACCCCUCACCUGAGAAUCAAGUCCUAAGGCCCUCCAAUAUUUAGAAGUUGGACAAGGAAGGAA